rnacentral:rRNA from 1 species
UACGUAGGCAGCGAGCGUUGUUCGGAGUUACUGGGCGUAAAGGGUGUGUAGGCGGUUGUUUAAGUUUGGUGUGAAAUCUCCCGGCUCAACUGGGAGGGUGCGCCGAAUACUGAGCGACUAGAGUGCGGGAGAGGAAAGUGGAAUUCCUGGUGUAGCGGUGAAAUGCGUAGAUAUCAGGAGGAACACCGGUGGUGUAGACGGCUUUCUGGACCGUAACUGACGCUGAGACACGAAAGCAUGGGGAGCGAACAGG